UGGAGACUUAAAAGUAAUUUUAUUUACAACCAUAAACACUUGAAAAAAUGGAGUACGUUAUACACAUCUCUGGCUCUUUCCCACCUACUGUAUGUACUUUGGCACAUGCAAAAGAAAAUGAAGGCUAGAUUGUUGAUGUAAAAGAAGGAAACUUAGACACUCAGGGAAAUCGACUUCAUGAAGUUCCAGGUGACAAAGUCAGUUGUCAACGAAGUGUCCAAUGUUUGACAAACCAGGGACUCAGGCUAAUGUACUUCUCACCCUGGAUACUAGGAGAGUACCUCUCUGGUGUCUCAGAUGGGUCUCACUUUCUUCUUUUUCUAGGCACAUAGAAGCCCAGGCAGCAUAGAACAGAUUUCUCUGACUGGCUUGGGCACGCUACUAAACGUCUUUAUUUUUCCAUUUCUUCAAUUGCUUUGCCCGCAUCCCAAAGUUGCUGUGAAGAUUAAGUGAAUAGACAUGAAAGGGCUUUGAGAAACAUAACAUGCUCACAAAUACAAUGAAUUAUUUUUUUAAAUAGCUUUUGCCUUUUUGAAAGAAAUCUUGAGCAAUGGAGGAGAAAAGUUUCAAAGACUAAGGCUGAGAAAGUUCCCUUGUGUCCUCAGUGAGGUCCGAGUCUCAGUGGGAAUUCACCAUGACCGCAGACCUGGCCUGUGACUGCACAUUCGUUAAACCUGCGCUAAAAGUCUGUUCAGACCAUCCAGGCUACAGCAGGACUAAUCAAUAAAGGUCCUUCAGGGGCCCCAGCAGAAUUAAGAGAAAGAUAAGUGUUGGAAAGAAGAAUGAAAAUGUCCCAAAUAGCAUUUAUGACCCAACUACUGAAGAAGAGGAAGAAAUCUGGGGAACAGACUUGUGGCCUUGCCUCUGCCUUCAUGUGGAAUCACCUAUAAACUUUCCAGAAGAAAGUGCAAGAAUUAUCUUCCCAUCACCCAUCGCAACGUCCUAACUGUCACUAUUGGAUCUGCAGUAAGUUAAACUCAACUUCCUAGGUCUGCCUCUUGACACAGCUAAAGAAUAGUGACUGAUCAUUGUCAUCACACUAGCCUUUCCUAUGCUGAGUUGUCACCUCCACACUAUAGGAUUCCAAUCCCCUCUGUGGGUCAACAGGGCAAGUGUAAUGACCUGGC
rnacentral:lncRNA from 1 species